GAUGAACGCUAGCGGCAGGCCUAACACAUGCAAGUCGAGGGGUAGAGAUUGCUUGCAAUCUUGAGACCGGCGCACGGGUGCGUAACGCGUAUACAAUCUGCCUCUUACCGCGGGAUAGCCCAGGGAAACUUGGAUUAACACCGCAUGGCAUCCGGCCACCGCAUGGCGGCUGGAUUAAAGGUUACGGUAAGAGAUGAGUAUGCGUCCUAUUAGCUAGAUGGUAAGGUAACGGCUUACCAUGGCGACGAUAGGUAGGGGCCCUGAGAGGGGGAUCCCCCACACUGGUACUGAGACACGGACCAGACUCCUACGGGAGGCAGCAGUGAGGAAUUUUGGACAAUGGGCGCAAGCCUGAUCCAGCCAUGCCGCGUGAGUGAAGAAGGCCUUGG
rnacentral:rRNA from 1 species